rnacentral:rRNA from 1 species
GAUGAACUCUGGCGGCGUGCCUAAUACAUGCAAGUCGAGCGAACGGACGAGAAGCUUGCUUCUCUGAUGUUAGCGGCGGACGGGUGAGUAACACGUGGAUAACCUACCUAUAAGACUGGUAUAACUUCGGGAAACCGGAGCUAAUACCGGAUGAUAUUUUGAACCGCAUGGUUCAAAAGUGAAAGACGGUCUUGCUGUCACUUAUAGAUGGAUCCGCGCUGCAUUAGCUAGUUGGUAAGGUAACGGCUUACCAAGGCAACGAUGCAUAGCCGACCUGAGAGGGUGAUCGGCCACACUGGAACUGAGACACGGUCCAGACUCCUACGGGAGGCAGCAGUAGGGAAUCUUCCGCAAUGGGCGAAAGCCUGACGGAGCAACGCCGCGUGAGUGAUGAAGGUCUUCGGAUCGUAAAACUCUGUUAUUAGGGAGGAACAUAUGUGUAAGUAACUGUGCACAUCUUGACGGUACCUAAUCAGAAAGCCACGGCUAACUACGUG